UUAACGUGCUCUGGUCGAGGAUAAACGACCCCUCUGACCGAGGUCAAACCCGUCGCUCUCUGUGUUACCUCUUUCCGAGGCACACGUUAAAGAUUGUUCCGCGUUGUGAGUCUAACACCAGUUGUAAUAAACUUUUUACAACCGGUAGCGAUGGAUCCCUUGGCACGUCAUUCGAUGAAGACCGUUGCAAAUUGCGAUAAAGUGAUGUGAUGCGCAAGUCCACCACUUAUACGUGAAUCAUCGAGUUGUUGAACGCAUUGCACCGCGCCCUAAUCUGGCUGCGGUAUGCCCCUUUGAGCGUCAUUGUAUUCCUUCGGGAGUCCUUUUUACAAAGGACCCGAGUUCGGAGUCCUCGGUCCUCUCUCUGGAUCGUGUUCUCUCAGAUGCGUCGCACCGAUCGCCUGAUGGGUCCUCUAAUGCCUAAGCGUGGAGUUCCUUCAGAGUCCGAGAUGUGCUUGACCGGGUCUUGAGCCCGCGUCACCAAGUCCGCCUUUACCAGCGGUACUACAACGCAUGACCUCAUUGGGGUAGGACAACCCGCUAGACUUAAGCAUAUUAAUCAG
rnacentral:rRNA from 1 species